GGCCAGACUCCUACGGGAGGCAGCAGUGGGGGAUAUUGGACAAUGGGGGAAACCCUGAUCCAGCGAUGCCGCGUGAGGGAAGAAGGUUUUCGGAUUGUAAACCUCUGUGGACAGGGACGAUAAUGACGGUACCUGUCAAGAAAGCCACGGCUAACUCCGUGCCAGCAGCCGCGGUAAUACGGAGGAUGCGAGCGUUAUCCGGAUUUAUUGGGUUUAAAGGGUGCGCAGGCGGAAUGUCAAGUCAGCGGUAAAAUUUCGGGGCUCAACCCCGUCGUGCCGUUGAAACUGGCGUUCUUGAGUGAGCGAGAAGUAUGCGGAAUGCGUGGUGUAGCGGUGAAAUGCAUAGAUAUCACGCAGAACUCCGAUUGCGAAGGCAGCAUACCGGCGCUCAACUGACGCUCAUGCACGAAAGCGUGGGUAUCGAACAGGAUUAGAUACCCGAGUA
rnacentral:rRNA from 1 species